rnacentral:misc_RNA from 1 species
GAAAUGCGAUAAGUAGUGUGAAUUGCAGAAUUCAGUGAAUCAUCGAAUCUUUGAACGCACAUUGCGCCCCUCGGCAUUCCGUGGGGCAUGCCUGUUCGAGCGUCAUCUACACCCUCAAGCUCUGCUUGGUGUUGGGCGUCUGUCCCGCCUCCGCGCGCGGACUCGCCCCAAAUGCAUUGGCAGCGGUUCCUUGCCCCCCUCUUUGCGCAGCACACUGCCAUUCGAGGCGGCGGCGGCCCGCGUCCAACAAGCUCAACCCCCCCGUCUUUGACCUCGGAUCAGGUAGGGAUACCCGCUGAACUUAAGC